UUUUCAAGCAAAGUAGCAACAGGAGAAUAUCAAGUUUCUCUAGUUUUGAUACAUCAGUGGUUAACCAUAUACAGGAUCGUUUGGGAGAAUGUGCAAGGGUAAUUGGGUAUUUUGAUCUAUUUUAGUUUUCUUGCUGAUAAAUAAGCUUCUAGUUUCAAGCCAAAUCUCAUCAUGCAAUUUCCUGCCAAUCUUACUUCUCUACAGAGUUUACCUUUGCUUUUCCCCUCUCUGCCCUCAGGCAUUUAACAAACACUGUGUCUUUUCAUUUUCCCAGAUUUAAGUGAAACAUUUUGCAGAAACGAGGCAUGUGAUAACAGCCCCUAGAGCCCUACCCGACAGCAUGACAUUAAAUUGGGCCUCUGUUUUCUCUCAUACUUUUCAAUUGCCCCCCAAUUUAUAUCACAUACAUCUACAUUAGGAGAGCCUGAGAGAUGAAAUCUCACUUCAUUUCCCAGGCUUGUCUCAAACUCCUGGACUCAAGUGAUCCUGCUUCAGCCCCUCAAGCACUGGGAUUACAGGUGGUACUGCUAAGCCAACGUCAAGCAAGCGCAUGACCCCAGGGAAUGGCAAAGCAAGACAGAAAG
rnacentral:lncRNA from 13 species